CCUCUUGGCAAGAGAAGGCCAGGCCCUCUCCCUGGCCCCCUUUAUAGCGUUCGCUUGCUGCUCACCGUUCUAGAAAGGGAUGGGGGCGGGGGACGCUAAGGACCUGUUUCCUAAAAUACAGAAUACGGUCCAACUCUCACUCGAAAGGGGCUGCGUGGGCACAGAGGAGGGGCGGAGACGGCGGGAAGGAUCAGCAAGGACUUUGUUCGUGGACUUUUUUUUCUGCACCCUGGAAAUUCCCAGGCCAGAAAGGUACCGACCCUAGUCCCGGACAUUCCCCUCAAGGGUCGGCUCCAAGACCUGGACUGGAACCGCGCAGAGGAAUCAGAAGCAAAUCUCCUUUAAGUGCGGGGGCUGAGGAGGGGGAUGCUUUCUACAGCAAGGCUUUUCAAAUAUGGCAAUCAGAAAGUAGUGUCCCCAUCGUGUGCCUUCACUGACAAACUAAAGGACAAGGAAUCUGCGAUGGCCCAGAAGCAGACUCACCUCUGGCUUGCAACACACGGAUAUAAAGGCUUACCAUACACAUUCUUGGCAAGUGCCCAGAUGGAUCAAUCUGAAACUUAAUACCUGAAGCUGGGAAGUAUCAGUCAGUUGGUAUUUAACAAAAUGAUGGUUGUUCAGAAAGGUAAAAUGGAUCAUAUUGGAACAAAAAACUUAUAUUUGCUAAAGAAAAGUUACUCUUAACUUUUAUAAAAUAUAAUUUUCACAGAAGAGCCUUAUUAUGGAUUCUCCCUUUCAUAAGUAGCAUCAAAUCAAUCACUUGAGUUCUAGAAUAUGAGGAGAUCCACUAAAUGAAGUUAAUGCUGCCAUUCCAAAAUAAAAAUCCAUAUUUUAACCCAAUGAAAUUAUAUAUUAAUCACCAUUUUAAUAUUUUAUUAUAAAUCUAAAUGGCCAACCUAUGUAAAUAAUGAUAUCAUUUAGCUAAACUGUUAGGCAGACUUUUAUAAUUAAGUCAUGAAAACAUAGAAAAAUAUUUGUAUGUUAAAUUUAAAAACACAGAUAAAAAUUACAUGUUCUCUGUGAUUACAGCUGUGUGAUUUUAAAAACCUAGAAGAAAAUAAACCAAACUGCUAAUGCUCAUCGCAGAUGAUAGAAUUAUGGAUUCUAUCCAUAGAUUUUCUUUUUCUAGAUUUUACAAUAUGUUUAUUUAAUAUCCUUUACAUUUAUAAUGGAAACACAACUCUGUGGUAUUGGCUUAAAAUAAACUUUUCAGAAGAAAUUAAAAUCGUUCUGAGAAUGAUUUAUGUAAUAUUCCAAACUCUACACUUAGGCUUUUUUUUAACUUCCACACGAGCAUAGAAAGACACAUUAGAAGGACAGAGUGAAUGAGAAUACUUUAAGAAACUGUGUCAUCAGAUCUUUAGGACAUGUCACUAAAUCAAAAAUUAACGGGAUGGGGCUUCCCUGGUGGCACAGUGGUUAAGAGUCUGCCUGCCGAUGCAGGGGACACAGGUUCAUGCCCCGGUCCAGGAAGAUUCCACAUGCCGCGGAGCGGCCGGGUCCGUGAGCCAUGGUCGCUGAGCCUGUGCGUCCGGAGCCUGUGCUCCGCAACGGGAGAGGCCACAACAGUGAGAGGCCCGCGUACCGCAAAAAAAAAAAAAAAAAAAAAAAAAAAAAAUUA